rnacentral:tRNA from 1 species
ACCGCGAUAGCUCAGCUGGUAGAGCAUCAGCCCGGUGAGCGGAGUGUUGCCAGUUCGAUCCCGGCUCGCGGCG